GAACCGGUGCCCAGAGUUGGUCGAAGGGGGGAGACUCUUAAUCUCCAAGCGAAAGCUCAUCGUGGGUUCGAAUCCCACCCGGUUCUCCA
rnacentral:tRNA from 1 species